AGGGCGUUUGGUGGAUGCCUUGGCAGUAAGAGGCGAUGAAGGACGUGAUACUCUGCGAUAAGCCAUGGGGAGCUGAGAAUAAGCUUUGAUCCAUGGAUUUCCGAAUGGGGCAACCCACCUGAUACUUUGUUGUUAUUGCAGCUUUGGUUGCAGCUAACAGCGGGGUUAACCAGGUAUUUCUAGACUGAAUACAUAGGUUUAGAAAAGCAAACCCGGGGAACUGAAACAUCUAAGUACCCGGAGGAAAGGAAAUCAACAGAUACUCCCCUAGUAGCGGCGAGCGAACGGGGACCAGCCGAGCCAUGAGAGUGACAAGAAUAUCCUGGAAAGGAUAGCCAGAGUGGGUGACAGCCCCGUAUUGGAAGCUCAAUUGGACGUAUUAAGUAGGGCGGGACACGUGAAAUCCUGUCUGAACAUCGGAGGACCACCUUCGAAGGCUAAGUACUCCUUACUGACCGAUAGCGAACCAGUACCGUGAGGGAAAGGUGAAAAGCACCCCGAUUAGGGGAGUGAAACAGUACCUGAAACCGAAUGCUUACAAGCAGUUGGAGCCCCAUAGGGGGUGACAGCGUACCUCUUGCAUAAUGGGUCAGUGACUUAAUUUAUCCAGCAAGCUUAAGCCGUAAGGUGUAGGCGUAGCGAAAGCGAGUCUUAAAUGGGCGACCAAGUUGUAUGAAUUAGACCCGAAAACGAAUGAGCUUACCAUGAGCAGGUUGAAAGCAGGGUAACACUUGCCGGAGGACCGAACCAGUUGACGUUGAAAAGUCUUUGGAUGACUUGUGGUAAGGGGUGAAAGGCCAACCAAAUUCGUAGAUAGCUGGUUUUCCGCGAAAACUAUUUAGGUAGUGCGUCGAAUAAAUAGAUGUUUAGAGGUAGAGCACUAAAUGGGCUAGGGGGAAGAGAUUCUUACCAAACCUAAUAAAACUCCGAAUGCUAGACAUUGUUCUUCGGCAGACAGACUGUGGGUGCUAAGGUCCAUGGUCGAGAGGGAAAGAGCCCAGACCACCAGAUAAGGUCCCAAAAUCAUGAUUAAGUGUGAAAGGAUGUGGAAAUUCCUUAACAGCCGGGAGGUUGGCUUAGAAGCAGCCAUCCUUUAAAGAAAGCGUAAUAGCUCACUAGUCGAGUCGGCCUGCGCGGAAGAUGUAACGGGGCUAAGCAAUAUACCGAAGCUGCGGAUUUGAACUUCGGUUCAAGUGGUAGGGGAGCGUUGUGUAAGUGGCUGAAGGUGUUUCGAGAGGAAUGCUGGACAUAUCACAAGUGCGAAUGCUGACAUGAGUAACGAUAAUGGGGGUGAAAAACCCCCACGCCGGAAGACCAAGGUUUCCUGUCCCAUGCUAAUCAGGGCAGGGUAAGUCGGCCCCUAAGGCGAGGCGGAAACGCGUAGUCGAUGGGAAACGGAUUAAUAUUUCCGUACUUGUUAUAUCAGUGAAGGGGGGACGGAGAAGGUUAUGCUAGCUUGGCGUUGGUAGUCCAAGUGAAAGUGCGUAGGGUUGGUGUUUAGGAAAAUCCGGACACCACAUUUAAAAGAUGAGCCUGAGACACGAGACGAGACUCUACGGAGUUGAAGUAGCAAAUACCCUGCUUCCAGGAAAAGCCUCUAAACUUAUGAUAUAGCGAACCGUACCCCAAACCGACACAGGUGGUCAGGUAGAGAAUACUAAGGCGCUUGAGAGAACUCGGGUGAAGGAACUCGGCAAAAUUGUACCGUAACUUCGGGAGAAGGUACGCCCUUGCUUGUGUAGUGCUUCGCGCAUGAAGCAGGUGAGGGCCGCAGUGACCAGGAGGCUGGGACUGUUUAUUAAAAACACAGCACUGUGCUAAAUCGAAAGAUGACGUAUACGGUGUGACACCUGCCCGGUGCCGGAAGGUUAAUUGAUGGGGUUAGCGCAAGCGAAGCUCUUGAUCGAAGCCCCGGUAAACGGCGGCCGUAACUAUAACGGUCCUAAGGUAGCGAAAUUCCUUGUCGGGUAAGUUCCGACCUGCACGAAUGGUGUAACCAUGGCCUCGCUGUCUCCACCCGAGACUCAGUGAAAUUGAAAUUGCAGUGAAGAUGCUGUGUACCCGCACCUAGACGGAAAGACCCCGUGAACCUUUACUAUAGCUUGGCACUGAACAUUGACCCUACAUGUGUAGGAUAGGUGGGAGACUAUGAAGCAUUGUCGCCAGAUGAUGUGGAGUCUACCUUGAAAUACCACCCUUGUACGUUUGAUGUUCUAACAUUGCGCCCUGAUCGGGCGUGUGGACAGUGUCUGGUGGGUAGUUUGACUGGGGCGGUCUCCUCCCAAAGCGUAACGGAGGAGCACGAAGGUUGGCUAAUCCUGGUCGGACAUCAGGAGGUUAGUGCAAUGGCAUAAGCCAGCUUAACUGCGAGACAGACACGUCGAGCAGGUACGAAAGUAGGUCAUAGUGAUCCGGUGGUUCUGAAUGGAAGGGCCAUCGCUCAACGGAUAAAAGGUACUCCGGGGAUAACAGGCUGAUACCGCCCAAGAGUUCAUAUCGACGGCGGUGUUUGGCACCUCGAUGUCGGCUCAUCACAUCCUGGGGCUGAAGUCGGUCCCAAGGGUAUGGCUGUUCGCCAUUUAAAGAGGUACGUGAGCUGGGUUUAAAACGUCGUGAGACAGUUUGGUCCCUAUCUUCCGUGGGCGCUGCAGAUUUGAGGAAGCCUGCUCCUAGUACGAGAGGACCGGAGUGGACGCACCUCUGGUGUACCGGUUGUCACGCCAGUGGCAUUGCCGGGUAGCUAAGUGCGGAAGAGAUAACCGCUGAAAGCAUCUAAGCGGGAAACUCGUUCCAAGAUGAGAUCUGCCGGGGCCUUGAGCCCCCUAAAGAGUCGUUCAAGACCAGGACGUUGAUAGGCUGGGUGUGGAAGCGCAGCAAUGCGUUAAGCUAACCAGUACUAAUUGCUCGUGAGGCUUGACC
rnacentral:rRNA from 1 species